GCCAGUGUGGCACAGUGGUUUGAGCACUGGACUAUAACUAUGGAGGCCAGGAUUCAAAUCCCAGCUUAGCCA